rnacentral:rRNA from 1 species
UCGUGACCCUGACCAAAACAGACCGUGCUCGCGUCAUCCAAUCCUCCGACGAUGGCAUUGUUCGUCGUUCGGCCAAUUCCUCGACCGCCUCCACUCCUAGGAGCGGGGGCUCGUGGUAAAAGAACCCACGGCGCCGAAGGCGUCAAGGAACACUGUGCCUAACCCGGGGAGAUGGCUAGCUUGCUGGUCGUCACCUGUGUUGCAAAUAUAUUUAAUCCACACGACUCUCGGCAACGGAUAUCUCGGCUCUCGCAUCGAUGAAGAACGUAGCGAAAUGCGAUACCUGGUGUGAAUUGCAGAAUCCCGCGAACCAUCGAGUCUUUGAACGCAAGUUGCGCCCGAGGCCACUCGGCCGAGGGCACGCCUGCCUGGGCGUCACGCCAAAACACGCUCCCAACCACCCUCUUCGGGAAUUGGGAUGCGGCAUAUGGUCCCUCGUCCUGCAAGGGGCGGUGGGCCGAAGAUCGGGCUGCCGGCGUACCGCGUCGGACACAGCGCAUGGUGGGCGUCCUUGCUUUAUCAAUGCAGUGCAUCCGACGCGUAGACGGCAUCAUGGCCUCGAAACGACCCAUCGAACGAAGUGCACGUCGCUUCGACC